UGUGAGGGCUGGCUUGCCUGCGAUAGCAUCGCCGCGGUGUAACAGAUACACCGCGUCGUCCGCAUCGCAGGCAAGCCAGCUCCCACA
rnacentral:misc_RNA from 1 species